CACCGCGGUUAUACGAGAAACUCAAAAUGAUAAGCACCGGCGUAAAGGGUGGUUAGGAGAUUAAUAACUAAAGUUAAACAUUUUCUUAGCUGUUAUACGCAAUUGAAAACAUGAAAUUCAACCACGAAAGUAACUUUAAACASUCUGAAUCCACUAAAGCUACUAAA
rnacentral:rRNA from 13 species